rnacentral:rRNA from 1 species
CCUACGGGUGGCUGCAGUGAGGAAUAUUGGUCAAUGGGCGCGAGCCUGAACCAGCCAAGUAGCGUGAAGGAUGACUGCCCUACGGGUUGUAAACUUCUUUUAUCAAGGAAUAAAGUGAGGCACGUGUGCCUUUUUGUAUGUACUUUAUGAAUAAGGAUCGGCUAACUCCGUGCCAGCAGCCGCGGUAAUACGGAGGAUCCGAGCGUUAUCCGGAUUUAUUGGGUUUAAAGGGAGCGGAGAUGGGGUGUUAAGUCAGUUGUGAAAGUUUGGGGCUCAACCGUAAAAUUGCAAUUGAUACUGGCAGUCUAGAGUACAGGUGAGGUAGGCGGAAUGCGUGGUGUAGCGGUGAAAUGCUUAGAUAUCACGAAGAACUCCGAUUGCGAAGGCAGCGUACUAAACUGCCACUGACAUUGAUGCUCGAAAGUGUGGGUAUCAAACAGGAUUAGAUACCCUGGUAGUC